rnacentral:rRNA from 1 species
AUUGAACGCUGGCGGCAGGCCUAACACAUGCAAGUCGAGCGGAUGAAGGGAGCUUGCUCUUGGAUUCAGCGGCGGACGGGUGUGUAAUGCCUAGGAAUCUGCCUAGGAGUGGGGGAUAACGGCCGGAAACGGGCGCUAAUACCGCAACCGUCCUGAGGGAGAAAGUGGGGGAUCUUUGGACCUCACGCUAUCAGAUCAGUCUAGGUCGGAUUAGCUAGUUGGUGGGGUAAAGGCCUACCAAGGCGAGUAUCCGUAACUGGUCUGAGAGGAUGAUCAGUCACACUGGAACUGAGACACGGUCCAGACUCCUACGGGAGGCAGCAGUGGGGAAUAUUGGACAAUGGGCGAAAGCCUGAUCCAGCAAUGCCGCGUGUGUGAAGAAGGUCUUCGGAUUGUAAAGCACUUUAGGUUGGGAGGAAGGGCAGUAAGUUAAUACCUUGCUGUUUUGACGUUACCAAAAGAAUAAGCACCGGCUAACUUCGUG